CCUACGGGGGGCAGCAGUGGGGGAUAUUGCACAAUGGGGGAAACCCUGAUGCAGCGACGCCGCGUGUGGGAAGACGGUCCUCUGGAUUGUAAACCACUGUCCCCAGGGACGAAGAUGACGGUACCUGGGGAGGAAGCUCCGGCUAACUACGUGCCAGCAGCCGCGGUAAUACGUAGGGAGCGAGCGUUGUCCGGAAUUACUGGGUGUAAAGGGAGCGUAGGCGGGGAUGCAAGUUGGGUGUCAAAACUACCGGCUCAACCGUAAAAUUGCAAUUGAUACUGGCAGUCUUGAGUACAGUUGAGGUAGGCGGAAUUCGUGGUGUAGCGGUGAAAUGCUUAGAUAUCAGGAGGAACACCGGCGGCGAAGGCGGCCUGCUGGACCGCGACUGACGUUGAGGCUCGAAAGCGUGGGGAGCGAACAGGAUUAGAUACCCCUGUAGUC
rnacentral:rRNA from 1 species